rnacentral:lncRNA from 1 species
AAGAGCUCACUGGUCCCUGCUUUUUGAGCAAGCCAACAAAACAUUCACAAAAUCAGAAAAGAUGAAACAUAUUUUCUCUAUUCUCUUACAUUACACAAACCUUCAUGAAAGUCUGUCCAAUUGGGUGUCUUCAUUCAAAUUACUACAAAUCACAAACUCGUAUAAUUAAACUACUUAAUUUUUGUUUUAACAAAAUCAGAAAAGAUGAACCAUAUAUUCUCUAUUCUCUUGCAUUACACAAACCUUUCUGAAAGUCUGUCCAAUUGAGUGUCUUC